UGCGCACGAACGGUGGGGUAACAGAAAUGUCCCCAAACUAAAUUCCUAUGAGUUUGUUGACAGCCGUGAACGUGCGCUUU
ncrna:unclassified sequences c4-2 RNA